GAUGAACGCUAGCGGCAGGCCUAGUACAUGCAAGUCGAACGGUAACAUGAGUAGCAAUACUUGAUGACGAGUGGCGCACGGGUGCGUAACGCGUAUGCAAUCUACCUUUAACCGGUGAAUAGCCCGAAGAAAUUCGGAUUAAUACACCAUAGUAUGUUUGAGUGGCAUCACUUAAACAUUAAAGUUCCGACAGUUAAAGAUGAGCAUGCGUGACAUUAGCUAGUUGGUAAGGUAACGGCUUACCAAGGCAACGAUGUCUAGGGGAUCUGAGAGGAUUAACCCCCACACUGGUACUGAGACAGGGACCAGACUCCUACGGGAGGCAGCAGUAAGGAAUAUUGGACAAUGGUGGCAACACUGAUCCAGCCAUGCCGCGUGAAGGAUGAAGGCCCUAUGGGUUGUAAACUUCUUUUGUACGGGAAAAAACCUUCUUACGUGUAAGAAGCUGAUUGUACUGUAAGAAUAAGGAUCGGCUAACUCCGUGCCAGCCGCCGCCGUAACAC
rnacentral:rRNA from 1 species